GACCCUUCAGCUCAGGUGUUCCUUCCACUUGAUCUCCCUUUGAAAAUAAAGUUGCUCUAGGUCCUAAGUCUUACCUUUAAUACUUUAAAUUCCAAGCCAACUUAUUACUUGCUCAAGAGACGACUUUUCUUCCCAUGUCUUAAGCAAAGUUCUUAAUCUGAGCCCUGUACUCUAAUACACAACACCACAUUCAUUGAAUUUUUUUGACCUAGUGAAUGCAUUCUAGGUAUAUCAAACAAGAUAAUGUAAAUGCUUAUGAUGACAUGUCAGAGUUUUAGUUAACGUAACACCAGGGGUGUUACAGAAAUGUCCCCUUUCCUCUGAAACCAUAGAGUGGGUUGUCGGUUGGCAGAAGUAGGCUGUGGUUGAUGCCCAUCUGGUCGAAAGCAUGCAGGAGGAUGAUGUCGGCUUGGCUCUCGUUGUCAACGAGGACCUUGUGUAGCUCCCAACCUACCACAUUGCAACUGAUGACGAGUGCGUUCGUAUGGAGCACGCUACGAAGGUCGACAUCUCUUGCGUCAAAGGUUAAUGGUACAUGAGACCACUUCGUCUAGAUGACAUGUCUUGUGACGGUGACAUGGUUGACCCUUCGAUGGUGAUCCCUUUUUUGUCGUUUAUUCUCGAAAUCCAAGCUAGACCCUCCGGUGAUCAUAUGAAUCACUCCUCUGAAGGGUGGAUCAAUG
rnacentral:lncRNA from 1 species